GCUUAGCAACCUGCUCGGGACCCCUCUCUGUGACUGUGAGCUGUUCUGUUCUUUUGCCUAUUAAACUCCUGCUCCAAACUCACUCGAUGUGUGUGUGCAUGUCCUUGACCUCAAUAUCUGGUCGUGUGACCAAGAACCUCAGUAUUCACCCCAGACAACAAGGCUGCUUCAUUUUGAGGGCUCGUCUGGGAUUUGAAGGUGACUUCAUCAGAAUGAAACCAUCAAGCUUCAGAUGGUGCUGAAAAUGGAGCCGAAAAUGAAACUGCCCUCCUACGAGGGACCCUUAAAUCAACCCCAGGAGGAGCCCUAGCUGCUGUUCCCCACACAACGCCACUCUCCAGCAGGAAGUAGCCAGAAGAAAUCGUCACCCAGUUUCCCCUAGCAGCAGUUAUGGAUUUCAUUCCUGAGGGGGGAAAUAUGUUAUAGGAGGCAGAAAGAAAUGAUUUAGGUAGACAUUUAGGGUAAAGUGAGUCCCCAGCAGAAAACUUUCCUUUUAACAAAAAGCAGCUCAAAAAUAGCUCCCUUUCUAACCUCAUGCAGUUCAAAAAAAAAGCACUUCUCUUCUAACAACAAGCAGCCUGAAAGUUCAGGCUGUAAAACACAGAGAAGAUGGCUUGAGCACAGAAAGGGAGGGGGAAGUCUCCUGGGUAAUCACCAAACUUCACAUUUACACAGUGGGCCCCAGUAAAACAGUGGGUCUUAAUAAGCAUAUUCCUUCCCUUUAGGCGCAGUAAGAUUGAGGAGCUAAAAACAGACUUGGGUGGAUGUCUGCAGCUGCAAGAAGAUGUGUGGGAACAGACACAGAAACUCUCCCUCCCAGAUAAGCAAGACAAAGAAACACAGAAUAAGAGUCCAUCUAUGUGGUCAGAGAAUGGGAUAAGAGCUGAUUUAAAAAAACUCUGCUCUAUAUAGAAGGCACACCUGGUCCCAACCAAACCACUGGACCCUAGGAGGAUAAGACCUCCUCUGCUCAUGAGCCCCCUCCUCAGUAGCCCAUUUAUAAAAACCCUGACAAUUUUACUACCACUUGGCAACCCGCUCGGGACCCCUCUCUGUGAUGGAGAGCUGUUCUUUUCUUUUGCCUAUUAAACUCCUGCUCCAAA
rnacentral:lncRNA from 1 species